rnacentral:tRNA from 1 species
GUCCGAUUAGUUCAGCUGGAUAGAAUGUCUGCCUACGGAACAGAUGGUCGUAGGAUCGAUGCUGCAUCAGGUA